UACGGAGGGUGCGAGCGUUGUCCGGAAUCACUGGGCGUAAAGAGCUCGUAGGCGGUUUGUCGCGUCUGCCGUGAAAGUCCGGGGCUCAACUCCGGAUCUGCGGUGGGUACGGGCAGACUAGAGUGAUGUAGGGGAGACUGGAAUUCCUGGUGUAGCGGUGAAAUGCGCAGAUAUCAGGAGGAACACCGAUGGCGAAGGCAGCCCCCUGGGUCAACACUGACGCUCAUGCACGAAAGCGUGGGGAGCAAACAGG
rnacentral:rRNA from 1 species